rnacentral:rRNA from 1 species
AAGAGUUUGAUCAUGGCUCAGAUUGAACGCUGGCGGCAGGCCUAACACAUGCAAGUCGAACGGUAACAGGAAGCAGCUUGCUGCUUUGCUGACGAGUGGCGGACGGGUGAGUAAUGUCUGGGAAACUGCCUGAUGGAGGGGGAUAACUACUGGAAACGGUAGCUAAUACCGCAUAACGUCGCAAGACCAAAGAGGGGGACCUUAGGGCCUCUUGCCAUCGGAUGUGCCCAGAUGGGAUUAGCUAGUAGGUGGGGUAAAGGCUCACCUAGGCGACGAUCCCUAGCUGGUCUGAGAGGAUGACCAGCCACACUGGAACUGAGACACGGUCCAGACUCCUACGGGAGGCAGCAGUGGGGAAUAUUGCACAAUGGGCGCAAGCCUGAUGCAGCCAUGCCGCGUGUAUGAAGAAGGCCUUCGGGUUGUAAAGUACUUUCAGCGGGGAGGAAGGGAGUAAAGUUAAUACCUUUGCUCAUUGACGUUACCCGCAGAAGAAGCACCGGCUAACUCCGUGCCAGCAGCCGCGGUAAUACGGAGGGUGCAAGCGUUAAUCGGAAUUACUGGGCGUAAAGCGCACGCAGGCGGUUUGUUAAGUCAGAUGUGAAAUCCCCGGGCUCAACCUGGGAACUGCAUCUGAUACUGGCAAGCUUGAGUCUCGUAGAGGGGGGUAGAAUUCCAGGUGUAGCGGUGAAAUGCGUAGAGAUCUGGAGGAAUACCGGUGGCGAAGGCGGCCCCCUGGACGAAGACUGACGCUCAGGUGCGAAAGCGUGGGGAGCAAACAGGAUUAGAUACCCUGGUAGUCCACGCCGUAAACGAUGUCGACUUGGAGGUUGUGCCCUUGAGGCGUGGCUUCCGGAGCUAACGCGUUAAGUCGACCGCCUGGGGAGUACGGCCGCAAGGUUAAAACUCAAAUGAAUUGACGGGGGCCCGCACAAGCGGUGGAGCAUGUGGUUUAAUUCGAUGCAACGCGAAGAACCUUACCUGGUCUUGACAUCCACGGAAGUUUUCAGAGAUGAGAAUGUGCCUUCGGGAACCGUGAGACAGGUGCUGCAUGGCUGUCGUCAGCUCGUGUUGUGAAAUGUUGGGUUAAGUCCCGCAACGAGCGCAACCCUUAUCCUUUGUUGCCAGCGGUCCGGCCGGGAACUCAAAGGAGACUGCCAGUGAUAAACUGGAGGAAGGUGGGGAUGACGUCAAGUCAUCAUGGCCCUUACGACCAGGGCUACACACGUGCUACAAUGGCGCAUACAAAGAGAAGCGACCUCGCGAGAGCAAGCGGACCUCAUAAAGUGCGUCGUAGUCCGGAUUGGAGUCUGCAACUCGACUCCAUGAAGUCGGAAUCGCUAGUAAUCGUGGAUCAGAAUGCCACGGUGAAUACGUUCCCGGGCCUUGUACACACCGCCCGUCACACCAUGGGAGUGGGUUGCAAAAGAAGUAGGUAGCUUAACCUUCGGGAGGGCGCUUACCACUUUGUGAUUCAUGACUGGGGUGAAGUCGUAACAAGGUAACCGUAGGGGAACCUGCGGUUGGAUCACCUCCUU